UCUAUUCAGAGGAACCUGCUUCUAUAAUUGAUAAUCCACGAUUAAUUAAUUUACUUGCCUUUAUUAAUUUAUAUAUCCGUCCGCUAGCUUUGAAUAUUUUAGUAGAAUUUUAAUAUUCAAGAUUUUUAAUAAUAAAAAAAAUCAGAUCAAGGUGUAGUUUAUAAGUAAGAAGAAAUGGGUUACUAUAAUAAAAAUUUAGGAUAAUUAUUUUUGAAUAUAAUUGAAUAAGGAUUGAAGG
rnacentral:rRNA from 1 species